GGCGGACGGGUUAGUAACGCGUGCGAACGUACCCAGAUCUAAGGAAUAGCCACUGGAAACGGUGAGUAAUACCUUAUACGCCCUUCGGGGGAAAGAUUUAUCGGAUUUGGAUCGGCCCGCGUUAGAUUAGAUAGUUGGUGGGGUAAUGGCCUACCAAGUCUACGAUCUAUAGCUGGUUUUAGAGGAUGAUCAGCAACACUGGGACUGAGACACGGCCCAGACUCCUACGGGAGGCAGCAGUGGGGAAUCUUGGACAAUGGGCGCAAGCCUGAUCCAGCCAUGCCGCGUGAGUGAUGAAGGCCUUAGGGUCGUAAAGCUCUUUCGCUAGAGAUGAUAAUGACAGUAUCUGGUAAAGAAACCCCGGCUAACUCCGUGCCAGCAGCCGCGGUAAUACGGAGGGGGUUAGCGUUGUUCGGAAUUACUGGGCGUAAAGCGUACGUAGGCGGAUUAGUCAGUCAGAGGUGAAAUCCCAGGGCUCAACCCUGGAACUGCCUUUGAUACUGCUAGUCUUGAGUUCGAGAGAGGUGAGUGGAAUUCCAAGUGUAGAGGUGAAAUUCGUAGAUAUUUGGAGGAACACCAGUGGCGAAGGCGGCUCACUGGCUCGAUACUGACGCUGAGGUACGAAAGUGUGGGGAGCAAACAGGAUUAGAUACCCUGGUAGUCCACACCGU
rnacentral:rRNA from 1 species